UACGAAGGGGGCUAGCGUUGCUCGGAAUUACUGGGCGUAAAGCGCGCGCAGGCGGCUAUCCAAGUCAGCGGUGAAAGCCCGGAGCUCAACUCCGGAACUGCCAUUGAAACUGUUUAGCUUGAGGAUGAGAGAGGUGAGUGGAAUUCCCAGUGUAGAGGUGAAAUUCGUAGAUAUUGGGAAGAACACCGGUGGCGAAGGCGGCUCACUGGCUCAUUACUGACGCUCAGGCGCGAUAGCGUGGGGAUCAAACAGG
rnacentral:rRNA from 1 species